rnacentral:lncRNA from 1 species
AGUUUGAUCUCAGACUACUGUGCUAGUAAUCAGUGAGACUUCGUGGGCGUAGGACCCUCUGAGCCAGACAAACAUCAUAUCUGAACUAAGUAAAUGGAGACUUAAUUUUAUUGACUGGCACCGAAUGGAAAUGAGAAAAGAGAAAGAAAAACAUGCAGCACAUUUAAAACAACUGUGUAAUCAGAUCAAUGAAUUGAAGGAGCUGCAAAAAACCUUUGAAAUCUCCAUUGGGAGAAAAGAUGAGGUGAUUUCUAGCUUGUCUCAUGCCAUAGGCAAGCAAAAGGAAAAGAUAGAGUUGAUGAGAACAUUCUUCCACUGGCGAAUCGGCCAUGUCAGAGCCAGACAGGAUGU